rnacentral:rRNA from 1 species
AUACGUAGGGUGCGAGCGUUGUCCGGAAUUAUUGGGCGUAAAGGGCUCGUAGGCGGUUUGUCGCGUCGGGAGUGAAAACACUGGGCUUAACCGAGUGCUUGCUUUCGAUACGGGCAGACUUGAGGCAUUGAGGGGAGAACGGAAUUCCUGGUGUAGCGGUGAAAUGCGCAGAUAUCAGGAGGAACACCGGUGGCGAAGGCGGUUCUCUGGCAAUGUUCUGACGCUGAGGAGCGAAAGUGUGGGGAGCGAACAGGAUUAGAUACCCUGGUAGUCCACACCGUAAACGUUGGGCGCUAGGUGUGGGGCCUAUUCCAUGGGUUCCGUGCCGCAGCUAACGCAUUAAGCGCCCCGCCUGGGGAGUACGGCCGCAAGGCUAAA